UAGAUGUACCCUUAGGUUAGAAGGGGAACCACUAUAAUUUCUUGUGUCCAGUUUCUCUUCUCUACUCUCUUUAUUUUUUUAUAUUUGUUUAUACCUUCAACACAAUUUUUCAGAAAAAUAAUAAGAACCCUAAACUCACGAAAAUUAUCCUAAAAAUCAAAAACCUUAAUUCAUUAUUCCUAUUAGGUUACAAUCAAAUUUCAAAAUACAAAUGUGUUGGGACAUACCCCAUUCGAACACUAACACUAAACAUGAAAACUAAAUCAGCCAAGAUUUAAUACACAUAACACAAAUACAAGGAGGCAGUUCCUACCCCUUCCUUAGAUCCAAACAACCAUGACAAAUUCUUCCACAUUUGAUCUAUGGCAAAGUUUAAAAGAGGGUCCAUAGUCUUUAAAUCUAUCCGGCGAUAGAUCAUUUCUUUGACUUCUGCAAGCACAAUUCAACUAUAAAUGGUCUCGAAUUUGUCCAAAGUAUCCACAUGCCCGUAAUCAAUUUGUUUGGUGGUGAGGAUGUUGAAGUAGGUGGGUGCCACAUCUUGUUUUGCAAUCAAAAAUCUGUUCCAGCAAGUUAAGCUCUCUUGGGACAUUUCUUCAAACACCAUGAAGACAUACUUAAAACAAAAUAAAAAUAUCAAUAAAGCACAAAACAAAACAUUAAAACAGUGGAACAGAGAGACAUCAUCAAACAUGAAAUUUAGAUAGUAUCCAAGCCUUGGUGGUUUUGGUGGAGGGCGGGUGGAUGCCAACAAUGAAGGUGGGGGAGUAGCCAUGAGGGAGAGAGCUUAAAACACUGUUUUCAGAUUUGAGAUGGGGGAGACAACCGUGACAGCCAUUUGAUUGUUUUGUGGUGGUGGCUAUUAUGUUACAAAUUUAAAAGUUUAAGCACAGUUAAGCAAAUUUUAAUUUUACAAGGGCUAAAAUUAUGUGUUGUCCUUGUUAAAUUGAAAUUUGUUUAAUUAUACUUAAACUUUUAUAUUUUUAAAUGAUUUUUAGC
rnacentral:lncRNA from 1 species